UACAGAGGUGGCAAGCGUUGUUCGGAAUUACUGGGCGUAAAGGGCGCGUAGGCGGUUCGUUAAGUCCUGUGUGAAAUCCCCCGGCUCAACUGGGGAACUGCACAGGAAACUAGCGGGCUUGAGUUCGGGAGAGGGAAGCGGAAUUCCGGGUGUAGCGGUGAAAUGCGUAGAUAUUGGGAAGAACACCUGAGGCGAAGGCGGGAUGCUGGGCCGACACUGACGCUGAGGCGCGAAAGCCAGGGGAGCGAACGGG
rnacentral:rRNA from 1 species